AGAGCGAACGCUGGCGGCAGGCCUAACACAUGCAAGUCGAACGGAUCCUUCGGGAUUAGUGGCGGACGGGUGAGUAACACGUGGGAACGUGCCUUUGGUUCGGAACAACUCAGGGAAACUUGAGCUAAUACCGGAUGUGCCCUUCGGGGGAAAGAUUUAUCGCCAUUAGAGCGGCCCGCGUCUGAUUAGCUUGUUGGUGAGGUAAAGGCUCACCAAGGCUACGAUCAGUAGCUGGUCUGAGAGGAUGAUCAGCCACACUGGGACUGAGACACGGCCCAGACUCCUACGGGAGGCAGCAGUGGGGAAUCUUGCGCAAUGGGCGAAAGCCUGACGCAGCCAUGCCGCGUGAAUGAUGAAGGUCUUAGGAUUGUAAAAUUCUUUCACCGGGGACGAUAAUGACGGUACCCGGAGAAGAAGCUCCGGCUAACUUCGUGCCAGCAGCCGC
rnacentral:rRNA from 1 species